rnacentral:lncRNA from 1 species
CGACAAGUAUGUUUGGUCUAGUUUCCCGAUGACACUUUCGGCUUUGGAUAGUUUUGAGGAGAGGAAUCCUGACGCAUCGGUGAAUGUUUACGGGUCAGACGAUUCGGGCGAUAUUCACCCUUUGCGCAUAUCACCCAAACAGGCUGUAGAUCAUACCAACUUACUCUAUUACAAUAAUCAUUAUACGUAUAUUAAGAAUUUAAAAAACUUACUUUCAAACGAGCGAAAAUAUAAAUUCGUUUGUGAAAAGUGCUUGAUUCUUUUUUCUAUAAAAAAAGAUUACAAUACGCAUGCAUAUAUAUGCCCAGGAUACUCCUCCUCAAAACUAACCGUAGCCGAAAAAAGUCUCCCAACGGAAAUAAUUAAGAAAGGAGCUCUUGUGACACCGGGGGGUAUGUCACCGGAAGAAUCGUUUAGACAGGCAGUUUUAUUAGGUAAGGCAGGUAAAAUCGUAGAUUUAAGUGAAUACGGGGGGAUAGUGACAAUUAAUGAAGUGGCCCGUUUUAAUCGUCAAAAUCCGGAAAUCGCAUUGAAUGUAUACACCGUUAAUGAAAGUAAUAAAUUAUAUCCAUUGUAUAUUUCCAAGAACGCGUCUGUGAAAGCCCGAGCAAUUCAUUUAUUCUAUUACGAUCAAAAUAAGUCCUAUUAUUAUAUUAAAGAUUUAAGUCGAUUGGUUCGAGCCCAGAAAACUAAGCAUAAUCAGAAAGUAUUCAUUUGUCCAAGAUGUUUGAUUCAUUUUCCGCACGAAUGGAAGUUGUUGACGCAUAAACCUCUGUGCUCGCAGAAUCCUGUUGCGCGAGUAUACUUACCACCACCGGGGGAAAACAUUUUAACUUUUACUAGAUUUAAGUACAAAAUUAAACAACCAAUUACCAUGUUUUUCGACUUUGAAACUACGCUGAAACCCAUUGACGAACAUCCUAACUCAUCCACGCACUUGUACGCACGCCACGAACCCAAUAGUUUUUGUUUACACGUAGUUAAUGAGUACGAACCGGCAACAAUGCCACGUGUCUAUUGUGGGAAGAACGCUGUCGAAACUUUCUUCAAGUAUUUGUUUGAAGAGGUGGAGAAAGCUAUGGGAUAUAUGGCUCGAUUUACGCCGUACGAUCCUGAUAUGGCUUCUGAAUUUGAUCGUGGAAAAUGCCAUAUUUGCGAAUUGCCAAUCACAGAUACACAAACCCCUUGUGUAGACCAUUGUCACCAGGCCGAGGGGGGCACGAUUCGGGGCUACGCCCAUGUCUCGUGUAAUUUGGCAUACCAGCAGCCCGAUUAUAUUACUGUAUAUUCUCACAACGGGUCUAAAUACGAUCAAAAGUUGAUGCUUAAACAUAUGAAUCAGGUAAAGGGUGCUAUUUGGGUGAUAGCGCAGACAGACGAUGAGUUCAUAACGAUUACUAAGCAUUAUUCCAACGGUGAGUCACGUGUUAAAAUUAAAUUUGUCGACUCGUACAAAAUGAUGUCUAGUUCUUUGGAAAAUCUUGUACGAAACAUGGCCGGUGAUCGGGAAUUGUUUUGUGCAGACGCGAAAAGUAAUACCAGAUCAUUUGUUGCAUUUGGCAUUACGAAAAUCCGCUUUUCCGUACGCUUAUAUCACGAGCGAGGAUGUUUUUGACGAGAGAAAAUUACCUCCGAUCGAAGCUUUUUUCAACGACCUCACUAAAGAGCCGUGUCCGCCGGAAAAAUAUGCGCACGCUCAAGAGUGUUGGGAAGCCUUUGGUAUGAAAACAUUGGGCGACUACAAUCGGUUUUACGUUGUGUUAGAUACGCUGCUUUUAGCCGAUGCGGUCUCAGCAUACCGUAAAAACAGCUCAACUGUCUCACGGACUUGACCCCGCCCACUUCAUAAGUAACGCAUCAUACACAUGGUCGUGUAUGUUGUGGCAUACGCGCCAGGAAAUCGAGCUGCUCACCGACAUAGACCAGUAUUAUACUUUCAAGAACAACAUAAGAGGCGGCUAUUGUGUG